rnacentral:tRNA from 1 species
GGGGCUGUAGCGCAGUUGGGAGCGCGUCUCAAUGGCAUUGAGAAGGUCAGGGGUUCGAAUCCCCUCAGCUCCACCC